GCCCAGGUAGCUCAGUUGGUAGAGCAACGGACUGAAAAUCCGUGUGUCGGUCGUUCAAAUCGGCCCCUGGGCACCA
rnacentral:tRNA from 1 species